rnacentral:lncRNA from 1 species
GUAGGUUAAAGCUAACUGAAUUUCAGUGUUGGAUGAACCAUUCCUUUGCUUGAGUUGCUUUAAAUGUCACCAGCUGCUUUCUUUUUUAAUAAGAAUUACUUUAGUGUUCAGUUUACUUAAUUCAUAGUCUUAUUGAAAGAAGACCCAGCUUUUCAGAUAUUGGAUUGCUUUCUAUUAUGACAAGACAAUUGGGGUUAUUACCAAUUAAUUACCAGUCCUGGUAACUGUUCCUUUUCAAGUUAAUUCUUUGUUGAAGCAUCUGCUGUUGGUUCCUUAAUGUCUCAGAUUCACAUAGUGCGUGGCUGGUUCUCGUGGGAAAAUCUGAGUAGGAAGGGUCAUUACUGACAACAUGGGAAGGAAGUAACUACCCUGAAAUAGGGAUUGUCUGAUGGCUGGGGAUUUUCUGAAGGUCCAGGUGCAUGGUGCUUGUAGAAAUGCUCUGUUGUGCAGGAAUGUGGAAGCUAAUAAUACUCUGCUGAGGAAUUUUGAAUAAUUUAGGUUCUGUGUGAUGAGAUAGUUCCGCUUAUAGCAAUCCCCAUUAUUCUUCCAGUUAGGUUGUCAGCUCAGCAUCCUCACUACAGUAGUUUGUUAUUAAUGUGAAAAAGUUUCUUGCCUUACUGGAGACUGAAUAUGUGUCCAUCUCAGUUCCCAUGAAACUGAAAUGUGUGCCUCCAAUUAUUUAAAGUUUGUGUGUCCUGGCUCUUCCACACUUGAGUGCAAUUCUCUUGAUUUAAACUAAAAGAGGGGGUAUAUCUGAUAAUUUGUAAAAUAACAUCAGCAUGUUUUACAUAGGAAGUCUAAAAAUGUUACCUGGUUCAUGGAAGGUACAGCUGAUCUUUUGUGUCUUAUGCAGAUAAUCAUGUAUGAUUUGAGCUGCUUCCUGGAUGCAAAUUUAAUUUUGUUUAUUCAUCUCUUUCUUUUUAAGCUCACUGAAGAGGAUGUGGAAUGAUCAAAAAUAAUGCUCUCCAGGUCUGUUUUUCCACAUCUUCAUAAGGAUAAGAUUUUCCCAGCAGUUGAUGGUCAACCCAAUGAUCAGCUGAAAUGUUUGAGUGACUCAAGAGAGAUAUCGAUAGUGAUAUGUACUAUAUUUCCAUUUUCAUGGUCUACUCACUGCUUCUAACAUAGGAGCUGAAAGUUGUCACUGGAAGACUAUUUCUGGACUUGAUCAACGGAAUGGUUAAGGUAAUUAAAAUAAGAAAUACAGACAGGGAAAAGAGAGGAAGAGGUUAGUUAUUCUCAGGUUCUUGUAUAUGAGAAAGAUUUUUUUUUUCUUCUUUUUUUCUCUGUUUUGCAUCUGUUAUUUUAGCACAAGAGAAUGUUAAUAAACAUUCUGGCAAUAGUUAUGCA